GUGGAAUGCGUAGAUAUAUGGAAGAACACCAGUGGCGAAGGCGGCUGUCUAGUCUGCAACUGACGCUGAGGCUCGAAAGCAUGGGUAGCGAACAGGAUUAGAUACCCUGGUAGUCCAUGCCGUAAACGAUGAGUGCUAGGUGUUGGAGGGUUCCGCCCUUCAGUGCCGCAGCUAACGCAUUAAAGCACUCCGCCUGGGGAGUACGACCGCAAGGUUGAAACUCAAAGGAAUUGACGGGGGCCCGCACAAGCGGUGGAGCAUGUGGUUUAAUUCGAAGCUACGCGAAGAACCUUACCAGGUCUUGACAUCUUCUGCCAAUCUUAGAGAUAAGACGUUCCCUUCGGGGACAGAAUGACAGGUGGUGCAUGGUUGUCGUCAGCUCGUGUCGUGAGAUGUUGGGUUAAGUCCCGCAACGAGCGCAACCCUUAUUAUCAGUUGCCAGCAUUCAGUUGGGCACUCUGGUGAGACUGCCGGUGACAAACCGGAGGAAGGUGGGGAUGACGUCAAAUCAUCAUGCCCCUUAUGACCUGGGCUACACACGUGCUACAAUGGACGGUACAACGAGUCGCAAAGUCGCGAGGCUAAGCUAAUCUCUUAAAGCCGUUCUCAGUUCGGAUUGCAGGCUGCAACUCGCCUACAUGAAGUUGGAAUCGCUAGUAAUCGCGGAUCAGCAUGCCGCGGUGAAUACGUUCCCGGGCCUUGUACACACCGCCCGUCACACCAUGAGAGUUUGUAACACCCAAAGCCGGUGAGGUAACCUUUUGGAGCCAGCCGUCUAAGGUGGGACAGAUGAUUAGGGUGAAGU
rnacentral:rRNA from 1 species